UACGGGGGGAGCAAGCGUUGUUCGGAUUUACUGGGCGUAAAGGGCGCGUAGGCGGCAUGACAAGUCACUUGUGAAAUCUCCGGGCUUAACUCGGAACGGUCAAGUGAUACUGUCGUGCUAGAGUACAGAAGGGGCAACUGGAAUUCUCGGUGUAGCGGUGAAAUGCGUAGAUAUCGAGAGGAACACCUGCGGCGAAGGCGGGUUGCUGGGCUGAUACUGACGCUGAGGCGCGAAAGCUAGGGGAGCGAACGGG
rnacentral:rRNA from 1 species